rnacentral:rRNA from 1 species
GGACGAACGCUGGCGGCGUGCCUAACACAUGCAAGUCGGGCGGAGAUAUUCCGGGAGCAAUCCGGGGGUAUUUCAGCGGCGGACGGGUGAGUAACGCGUGGGCAACCUGCCUUUCACUGGGGGAUAACGCGGCGAAAGCCGCGGUAAUACCGCAUAUGGCGGGGGUAUCGCAUGAUACCCUGGCCAAAGGAGCAAUCCGGUGUCAGAUGGGCCCGCGUCCGAUUAGGUUGUUGGUGGGGUAACGGCCCACCAAGCCAAUGAUCGGUAGCCGACCUGAGAGGGUGAUCGGCCACACUGGAACUGAGACACGGUCCAGACUCCUGCGGGAGGCAGCAGUGGGGAAUAUUGGGCAAUGGGCGCAAGCCUGAACCAGCCAUCCCGCGUGCAGGAAGACGGCGCUAUGCGUUGUAAACUGCUUUUCCAGGGAGAGAAACUUGCGCACGUGUUGCGCAAUUGACGGUACCCUGGGAAUAAGCAUCGGCUAACUCCGUGCCAGCAGCCGCGGUAAUACGGAGGAUGCGAGCGUUAUCCGGAUUCAUUGGGUUUAAAGGGUGCGUAGGCGGACUAUUAAGUCAGUGGUGAAAUCCUGCAGCUUAACUGCAGAACUGCCAUUGAUACUGAUAGCCUUGAGUUUGGUUAAGGUAGGCGGAAUGUGUAAUGUAGCGGUGAAAUGCUUAGAUAUUACACAGAACACCAAUUGCGUAGGCAGCUUACUGAGCCGACACUGACGCUGAGGCACGAAAGCGUGGGGAUCGAACAGGAUUAGAUACCCUGGUAGUCCACGCCGUAAACGAUGAUUACUCGCUGUUGGCGAUACACUGUCAGCGGCUAAGCAAAAGCAAUAAGUAAUCCACCUGGGGAGUACGGCCGCAAGGUUGAAACUCAAAGGAAUUGACGGGGGCCCGCACAAGCGGAGGAACAUGUGGUUUAAUUCGAUGAUACGCGAGGAACCUUACCUGGGCUUAAAUGUAGAGUGCAUUUUCUAGAGAUAGGAAUUCCCUUCGGGGCUUUCUGCAAGGUGCUGCAUGGUUGUCGUCAGCUCGUGCCGUGAGGUGUCGGGUUAAGUCCCAUAACGAGCGCAACCCUUAUCGUUAGUUGCCAUCUGGUAAAGCAGGGGACUCUAGCGAAACUGCCACCGUAAGGUGAGAGGAAGGUGGGGAUGACGUCAAAUCAGCACGGCCCUUAUGUCCAGGGCUACACACGUGUUACAAUGGUCGGUACAGAGGGCAGCUACCUGGUGACAGGAUGCUAAUCUCGAAAACCGGUCUCAGUUCGGAUCGAAGUCUGCAACUCGACUUCGUGAAGCUGGAUUCGCUAGUAAUCGCGCAUCAGCCAUGGCGCGGUGAAUACGUUCCCGGGCCU